rnacentral:rRNA from 1 species
GAUGAACGCUGGCGGCGUGCCUAAUACAUGCAAGUCGAGCGAACAGACGAGGAGCUUGCUCCUCUGACGUUAGCGGCGGACGGGUGAGUAACACGUGGAUAACCUACCUAUAAGACUGGGAUAACUUCGGGAAACCGGAGCUAAUACCGGAUAAUAUAUUGAACCGCAUGGUUCAAUAGUGAAAGACGGUUUUGCUGUCACUUAUAGAUGGAUCCGCGCCGCAUUAGCUAGUUGGUAAGGUAACGGCUUACCAAGGCAACGAUGCGUAGCCGACCUGAGAGGGUGAUCGGCCACACGGGAACUGAGACACGGUCCAGACGCCUACGGGAGGCAGCAGUAGGGAAUCUGCCGCAAUGGGCGAAAGCCUGACGGAGCAGCGCCGCGUGAGUGAUGAAGGUCUUCGGAUCGUAAAACUCUGUUAUUAGGGAAGAACAAAUGUGUAAGUAACUAUGCACGUCUUGACGGUACCUAAUCAGAAAGCCACGGCUAACUACGUG